rnacentral:rRNA from 1 species
CGCCUGGGGAGUACGGCCGCAAGGUUAAAACUCAAAUGAAUUGACGGGGGCCCGCACAAGCGGUGGAGCAUGUGGUUUAAUUCGAUGCAACGCGAAGAACCUUACCUGGUCUUGACAUCCACAGAACUUUCCAGAGAUGGAUUGGUGCCUUCGGGAACUGUGAGACAGGUGCUGCAUGGCUGUCGUCAGCUCGUGUUGUGAAAUGUUGGGUUAAGUCCCGCAACGAGCGCAACCCUUAUCCUUUGUUGCCAGCGGUCCGGCCGGGAACUCAAAGGAGACUGCCAGUGAUAAACUGGAGGAAGGUGGGGAUGACGUCAAGUCAUCAUGCCCUUACGACCAGGGCUACACACGUGCUACAAUGGCAUAUACAAAGAGAAGCGACCUCGCGAGAGCAAGCGGACCUCAUAAAGUAUGUCGUAGUCCGG